rnacentral:rRNA from 1 species
GACGAACGCUGGCGGCGUGCCUAACACAUGCAAGUCGAGCGAAUGAAGUUCCUUCGGGAAUGGAUUUAGCGGCGGACGGGUGAGUAACACGUGGGCAACCUGCCUCAUAGAGGGGAAUAGCCUUCCGAAAGGGAGAUUAAUACCGCAUAAGAUUGUAGUAUCGCAUGAUACAGCAAUUAAAGGAGCAAUCCGCUAUGAGAUGGGCCCGCGGCGCAUUAGCUAGUUGGUGAGGUAACGGCUCACCAAGGCGACGAUGCGUAGCCGACCUGAGAGGGUGAUCGGACACAUUGGGACUGGGACACGGCCCAGACUCCUACGGGAGGCAGCAGUGGGGAAUAUUGCACAAUGGGGGAAACCCUGAUGCAGCAACGCCGCGUGAGUGAUGACGGCCUUCGGGUUGUAAAGCUCUGUCUUCAGGGACGAUGAUGACGGUACCUGAGGAGGAAGCCACGGCUAACUACGUG